GACGAACGCUGGCGGCGUGCCUAAUACAUGCAAGUAGAACGCUGAAGGAGGAGCUUGCUCUUCUGGAUGAGUUGCGAACGGGUGAGUAACGCGUAGGUAACCUGCCUGGUAGCGGGGGAUAACUAUUGGAAACGAUAGCUAAUACCGCAUAACAGUAGAUGUUGCAUGACAUUUACUUAAAAGGUGCAAUUGCAUCACUACCAGAUGGACCUGCGUUGUAUUAGCUAGUUGGUGGGGUAACGGCUCACCAAGGCGACGAUACAUAGCCGACCUGAGAGGGGGAUCGGCCACCCUGAGACUGAGACACGGCCCAGACUCCUACGGGAGGCAGCAGUAGGGAAUCUUCGGCAAUGGACGGAAGUCUGACCGAGCAACGCCGCGUGAGUGAAGAAGGUUUUCGGAUCGUAAAGCUCUGUUGUAAGAGAAGAACGAGUGUGAGAGUGGAAAGUUCACACUGUGACGGUAUCUUACCAGAAAGGGACGGCUAACUACGUG
rnacentral:rRNA from 1 species